GUCAGUGUUCAGAGCACAAAAAUGCCUUCCAUCCAACUCUAUCUUCAGACAUCAUGGUUUCAGCCAUGCAAGACAUCUUGGAAUUUCUCAGUGCCACGUGUGAGAGAGCACUGCAUUUGAACCAACGUUGGUAUUUUUUGUCUGAGCUUAUGGAAAAGAUGGGAAGAGUGUCACUGUGGUAACUCUUGUGGAGUUGAGGAUGGAGACAUGCAGACCUCAGCUGAAGGACCCCUGGAGACGUCCCUCUGGUCUGUGGCAUAGCAGUAGGCACUAUGAGGCUAUGGUAGGAGUAUCCAAAGUCAGAACCAUUGCCCUGUAUCCAAGAUGCAUUGACUUGAGGGAUGAAGUCUUGGUGGCCGUGACUCAGACUUGCUGCUCCAGUUGGGAACACUGGGGCUAAGUUUCCUAGAUCUGGAAUAAAGCUACGUACUGUCAUAGCAACAGGCCCUGCCCUGACUCUCCGCUCUCCUCCCUUUUAAAAUAAGCAGAAAGUGAAGCUCUUACCACAUACAGCUGAGGCUCAGCAACUUGGCUUAGGCAGUAGCUUCUGACCUGAGCAGCACAGCAUGAAGAGAAUAAACAACACUCAAAAAAUGGAAGGAUCAACCUGUCAGUGUUCUAUGGCUGGGUGCACCAACAAAUCACAACGUGCUCUUCAGUUGCUGUGACAGGAUCUCUUCUACUGACUGACACCUAGAUCCCUGGGGAAAGAAAAAUGCUCCAGUGAGAGCAGUACUGUUUGAAGUGCAUGGUGACUUAAGACCCACUCCUACCAGAGGAGCUUGAGGCAGAAAGACAAGAAAGAGGAGAGAUGAAAGAGGCAGAGAUGCUCUUUUUAUUCUCCCCUCCCUGUCACUGCAAGGUAAGGAGGAUGCAUGUAUGCCCAACAAUCUGGAGCCAUUCCUAGCAAUUCUCCACUGAGUCAGCUUCUUAGUGGUAUAAUGUACAUAUCUCAGACUUCUUAAAUAUGUUCACAUUUCUCGCCCAGCUGGUUCUGUUGCACAAGUUGCUAGCACGUGCUAGCUUGGGAAAGAGGGUAGGAAGGAAGUUGUUAUCAGAAGCUGAUAGGAGGGAAGCUGUAACCAAAGUGUCUCAUUUAUAGGCAGGAGCAGAUAAGCUGACUUGAAUCUUUCAACGUCCAACACCACAGCACUGCACUUCUCCAUGCAUAUACCACCAAAACACAGGCAUGAGAUAGAGAAAAGGCUUUAAUCUCUGCCCAGGGGUGGUAGAAAUGCUUUGUAAUCACCUGAGAUGGCCAUGCAGUGUCUUAAGUCUGUUCUACGUAAAAUCUCUCAUCUUUUUCCUUUUGAUGCUGUAUAGCAUUCUUUGUUUGCCAUUGCAUCAAAAUGGGUUUGCAAGUGGCAGUGGACUGAUGUAAUUUGGCCAAAUGUGCACUCUCUUAUGGACCUCUGAUUGCUUUGUGUGUAAUCAAAGCAUAGUAAGAGCCUCCUUCAUGAGCCACAUGAGAAGAGAUAGGGUGUCUCCAGUGCAAUAUGCUCAGACCACUUCAUAUGAAAGAGUGUGGCUUUCUUCUUCAGGCAGUGUAGCAUCUUCUGGGAUCACGUGUGCUGUGGAUGCACUGUGCCUCUGUGCUGAUCAUGGCCCUAUCUUUCUGACUAACCAAAGCCCUUACUGAGUCAGUAGUAUAAUUCAUACAAGGUAUGCCCUUGUGCCUUUGUAAGAGGAGAGAACUUAUAACUAUACAAACCAUUCAUAACUGCAGCGCAGUAGAAAAAGUCCAAUAGCUCAGAACUUAUUUCUACGUCAUAAAAUAUACCCGUUCCCAGAGAAGGUAAGCCACAGCCACUGUGUGUAUCUCCAUCUCAGUACUGAUAGCUUCCUUGCAACACCAGUCUGGUCUGAUUGGCGGGAGUCUGGAAGAUCCUGUUUCCAAAGAAGACGAACAGCACAUCUCUGGGUGUCUCUUCCCUCAUGGCAAUACAGGUGAAGAAAGCUGCCUGAUGAAAGCCACUUCAUGACAAGCCUUUGCUGGUUCUUUGUGGCAGUAUAACACUGGGACUUUUUUUUCCAUUGCUUUGAGCUGAAAUCAGGCUGAAGAAAGCAGAACAAGAUGUAUGUCAGGGUUCUUAAGCGUUCAGAAUGUGGAAGGUCUUCCCAAUCUUGAUAACACUGAAUAAUGUUCCUUAUGUGCAACACUGUGGCUCAAAGCUAAUUUGUAGACCUCUACAAUCGUCUGGGCUAAAUGUCUGUAUGAGGCAGAAAGAGAUGACCUUUACUUGAUGCACCAGUCUCAACUAGGAGGAAGUAAAAUACACAGUUAAACUUCCAUGUUGGAUUUCAGUGAAUUAGGAAAGGAGGGGGAGAGAGAGAGAGAAAGAGAGCCUGAGGGAGGUAAUCAUGAAUGAAGCAGAACGUGGAGAUGUGGCACUGAAUGACAUGGUCUAGUGGGCGCGAUGGGGAUGGCUUAGCGGUCAGACUAGAUGAUCUCAGUGGUCUUUUCCAGCCUUAAUGAUUCUAUGAUUCUAUGAUUUUCUAGCCUCCUACAUACAGACUGAAGUAUCUUUUACUUAAAUCCCCUUGUUCUACAAGCAGGUGGAAGCUGCUGCCCAACAGAAAGAUACAGAAACAUCAGAAAAACGAGCCCCUGCAGCCUGAUAGCUUGGAGCUCUGGUGUAAAGGGGGUUUGUUGGGUUGGGGGUGGCUGGCACGUGAACUGACUGUCUUCAUGGAUGACUUGAACCCAUUUCUGAGUGUGUCUGUUACAUCUGGGAAUAAGCAAGUAGCUAAGGUAUAAGUAAUAAGGCAAGGCUGUUGGGAAAGAAAGAAACCCCCGUAAACCAAAAUAAUCCGUUUGUUCUCCAGUGUUUCCUGUACAAGUAAUAAAAUCUAAUAACUGAGUCGCUGUUAACUGUUAAUGACCACUGCGUUUGUUAAUGGGCCCAGACAAAUGAGAGCAGUUUAGUACAACAGACAGGCCAUUAGUUGUAUUAAUGGUUGGCUUGUAGGAGUUGGUGCUCUUAUAAACUAUAUUCUGCAGUUUAUAAUACCAGCACUUUAUAA